AAGUCGUAACAAGGUUUCCGUAGGUGAACCUGCGGAAGGAUCAUUACCUAGAGUUUGUGGGCUUUGCCUGCUACCUCUUACCUAUGUCUUUUGAGUACUUACGUUUCCUCGGCGGGUUCGCCCGCCGACUGGACAAAAUUAAACCCUUUGCAGUUGCAAUCAGCGUCUGAAAAACAUAAUAGUUACAACUUUUAACAACGGAUCUCUUGGUUCUG
rnacentral:misc_RNA from 1 species